rnacentral:rRNA from 1 species
UACGAAGGGUGCAAGCGUUACUCGGAAUUACUGGGCGUAAAGCGUGCGUAGGUAGUUGUUUAAGUCUGUUGUGAAAGCCCUGGGCUCAACCUGGGAACUGCAGUGGAAACUGGACAACUAGAGUGUGGUAGAGGGUAGCGGAAUUCCCGGUGUAGCAGUGAAAUGCGUAGAGAUCGGGAGGAACAUCCAUGGCGAAGGCAGCUACCUGGACCAACACUGACACUGAGGCACGAAAGCGUGGGGAGCAAACAGG